CGGGGUGGAGCAGCACGGUAGCUCGUCGGGCUCAUAACCCGAAGGUCGCAGGUUCAAAUCNUAUUUAA
rnacentral:tRNA from 1 species